CCCACCUUUCACCCUGACCUUGGGCGAGCCAUGGCCGCCUCCAGCUGCACAUCCGUGGCCACCAGCGGCAGCUGCUGGCCCUUGGCAGCCGCCUGAACAAACAGGGGGAUUGAGGAUUAUUACCCGGUGCUGGGAGCAGCCUGUGGCACGGUCCUGACAAAUGGAAACACACUCCAAUAUCUCCGGUUACCUGCAAGGACCUGUGGCUGAAGGGUGCAAGGGAUUUGGGCCUGCAAAAAGAGAAUAAAAAGGUGAUUUUCAAGAUGCUUUGUCAUUUCUCUCACUCAAGGACACCCUGCCCACCAGUGGGUUUGCUCACCUGAACAAAGCCAUCCACUGGCUCUGGGGACCUGAGGUCCUGCAGUAUCCCAGCCAGGACUCCUGCCCACAGGAGAGGGCUGGAGAAGCAGAAUGUCAGAUUUCCAGCCUCUUGUCGUGGGCUGUGAGUGCUGACACCUCAACCUUUCCUUGUACCCUUCAAGCACCCGGCUGGAGAGGCGGCUGCCUUUAUCUCCUGCUUGUUUAACGUAAUUACUACUUGUAUUUCCUCCCCGCUGGUUCUGCUGGAGCGGAAAAGGCUUUGGCCUUCACUUCACUAUACAAAAUAAAGAAAAAAAAAAUCUGGUUUAUAAACACCACUUUUUCUAUACUUUCAAAGGCAGGUUGUAGGGUGAGAGUCAGGAGAAUGGUCCCUAUUUGGAAAGCAGGCUAAUAAUAAUGAUGAAGUUGCUGCAGGGAAAUCUCUUGUCGAGCCUCCCUGAGCACUCUUUGUUCCCUUAGUAGUAAACAAUUAUCUUUUAAAGAUGUUCUGCUGUCUCCACCACUCACCCUGCUAUGAGAUAUUAAACAACCCCAAAAAGCAGCCCAAUUGUGUGCAAAGAGUGGAUUUCCUUUCAGAAAGGGUGGGAAUUUGCAACUCUUUAAAGACACUUAGUGUUAAUUAAAACCUAUGCAACCCAAAGAGAAAUAUAGCACCGUUUUUCAAGGAGGGAUGAAGUCAGUAUGAUUAGCAAGUGUUUUGUUACCAUGCUAAAAUAUGCUUUUUGAUUCUUAAAAUUCAGUGCCUGCUGCUGAUGGAAAACAAUUGUUUGUGCUCCAUAGCAAUGAAAGUUCAAGUGACAUAAAAA